rnacentral:tRNA from 1 species
GCGGCAAUUGCCCAGUGGUAGAGCCCCGCUUCGCGUGAGCGGAGGCCCGGGUUCGAUUCCCGGCUGCUUUC